UCGGACGAGACGACAGAGUUCAUGGCGAGCGAGGCGGACUUGGCCGAGUCCAUGCUUUCCUGGUUAGGGAGAGCCUCCAACACAAGGUCAUGUGUUGCUUCUCUCCUCUGUUUGGAUUUUAUUAAUUGGUGUCUUUUUUACUGAUUCCUUCGCUAUUGCUGUGCGCUCCUAGGUUUAGUCCAUGUCUCUCUAGAUUACUUCUAUUUCGUACGGAUGGUCUUGAGUUUGCACAAUUCCGGGAUGUCAGCUCGCCGCACAUGCGAUACUUAUUGUUAAUAGUUAUAGAAUUCCCUGGGUGUUCUUUGUUAUUUUUGUGCACAGAAGUUGUUUGUGUCUUUGUCCGAGCCAAUUUCAGUUACAAAUCCCCGAGUUAAACUACAUGUGGCUAACAACAUUGCAGAUGAAGCUCUCGUCUUUGACUAUAAGUUUGACAUGUGCUAAGAGUUUUUCGGUGGUUGAUAUCCUGCACCUAGAUAUGUUUAUAGACUUAUAGAUAGAAUAUCCUUUCUUAUUUAUAGUGGAUAUGUUGUUGGUGCCUUACUACAAAGUACUGGUGUUUUGUGACCACUACUAAUGAUAAUAGUAUUCUUUAUGCUAAGCUGCAGAUAAAAUAUUGAAGGGUGGAAGUCUGUUAAUCAUUCGAUUAGCCAUUUUUUGUUAUUUAGCAAUCAGUUUGACUCAUACAAUUAAAGUCUGAUUGUUGUAGUAAAUUAUGUUGCUAAGAACUUCAAGGUACCUCGUUUUUACAAUUGUUGCUACUUGGCAAAAAAUUAUUGUUUUUAGAAGUAACAAGUAGUUUAAAAAUUGUUGUAGCCCGUAGCAACGCACAGGCGUUCUCCUCUCGAUUCUCUGUUGUGCGACGUCGCAACUUCUUCUCCAACUCUGCGGGUGUAGGUUGAUCGAGGGUCGAAUAAUGGACGUAACACAGCUGCUAGAGAAGAGAUUAUAAUAUGGAAAAUAGCAGAUGAGGAGGAAGCUGAAGUUGGUAGAUCAAUUGAGCAAGAGUUCCAGACCCAGUCCCUGUAGUAGAGCAACCGCAGCCUCAAACUUCAGAGAAGAUGGGCAUGAAUGGAUGUUUUGGUUGCAGGUUACACCAAGAACAAGUGCCUCAGAUCAUUCAUUUUUCAGGCAGCGGAAGGAUCACUCCCCCUCCCCUCGCGUCGCCCACCUGAGGGCGACUCGAGGGUGCCCUCGCCCCGUCCGCCGUGACCACCCCUCUUCGGAUCUCACCGCCUCGACCAAAAUGUGAUUUGAGGCAAAGUCUGCGUUCGUGGCAAGGACAAUAAAAAUGAUGGAGCUUUUGGUCUUCAGCACCUUGAAAUGGAGGAUGCAAGCUGUUACUGCUUGCUCGUUUAUUGACUACUUCCUUUGCAAAUUCAAUGAUCAUGACACACCCUCCAUGCUCGCAUUCUCCUGCUCAACUGACCUCAUCCUGAGCACAGCUAAGUGAGCUGAUUUUUUGGUGUUCAGACAUUCAGAGAUUGCUGGAAGUGAUGCACUUCCUUCAUUUGGGGAGCACAUGACUUCAGUUGUCGAAAUGGCUACAACUAAUUGCAAGUAUAUAAACACGGGAGUGUUCUAUGAUGUGAUGUGACAGGAAAGAUGCUGAUGAAGUGCUUCCUUUAUGGAAUGCCUAUCUGAAGUUUGGACUAAGAGACAUGCUUUAAUUGGCUUAGUAAAAAAUACUUGCUAAAGAGAAAUAAGAUUCAA